CCAUUGGAGGACUGUGAAAUUAUUUCCUAUCUUCUGGAUGGUCUUGACACAGCCUAUGACCCCCUUAUUACGUCCAUUACGACAAGGGUAGAUCUUAUGACACUUGAUGAUGUCUUUGGCCACCUAUUAAAUUAUGAGG